GGUUAAGUGACUAAGCGUACACGGUGGAUGCCUUGGCAGUCAGAGGCGAUGAAAGACGUAGUAACUUGCGAUAAGCCCAGAUUAGGUAGUAACAACCAUUUGAGUCUGGGAUUUCUGAAUGGGGAAACCCACGUGCAUAAGCACGUAUCCUUACCUGAAUACAUAGGGUAAGGAGGCGAACCGGGGGAACUGAAACAUCUAAGUACCCCGAGGAAAAGAAAUCAACCGAGAUUCCGAAAGUAGCGGCGAGCGAAAUUGGACUAGCCCUUAAGCUUUACACGCGUUAGACGAACGGUCUGGAAAGUCCGACGAUACAGGGUGAUAGUCCCGUAGUUGACGACGUGUGUUCAGUGAAAUCGAGUAGGGCGGGACACGUGAUAUCCUGUCUGAAUAUGGGGGGACCAUCCUCCAAGGCUAAAUACUACUGACUGACCGAUAGUGAACCAGUACCGUGAGGGAAAGGCGAAAAGAACCCCUGUGAGGGGAGUGAAAUAGAACCUGAAACCGUGUACGUACAAGCAGUAGGAGCAGGCUUUGUCCUGUGACUGCGUACCUUUUGUAUAAUGGGUCAGCGACUUAUAUUCAGUGGCAAGGUUAACCAUCUAGGGGAGCCGUAGGGAAACCGAGUCUUAACUGGGCGUUCAGUCUCUGGAUAUAGACCCGAAACCAGGUGAUCUAGCCAUGGGCAGGUUGAAGGUUGAGUAACAUCAACUGGAGGACCGAACCGACUAAUGUUGAAAAAUUAGCGGAUGACUUGUGGCUAGGGGUGAAAGGCCAAUCAAACCUGGAGAUAGCUGGUUCUCCCCGAAAGCUAUUUAGGUAGCGCCUCGGACGAAUACUACUGGGGGUAGAGCACUGUUAAGGCUAGGGGGUCAUCCCGACUUACCAACCCUUUGCAAACUCCGAAUACCAGUAAGUACUAUCCGGGAGACACACGGCGGGUGCUAACGUCCGUCGUGGAGAGGGAAACAACCCAGACCGCCAGCUAAGGUCCCAAAUUACUACUAAGUGGGAAACGAUGUGGGAAGGCUCAGACAGCCAGGAUGUUGGCUUAGAAGCAGCCAUCAUUUAAAGAAAGCGUAAUAGCUCACUGGUCGAGUCGGCCUGCGCGGAAGAUGUAACGGGGCUAAGUAGUAAACCGAAGCUGCGGCAAUAUACUUUUGUAUAUUGGGUAGGGGAGCGUUCUGUAAGCGGUUGAAGGUGUGUGGUAACGCAUGCUGGACGUAUCAGAAGUGCGAAUGCUGACAUGAGUAACGAUAAAGGGGGUGAAAAACCUCCUCGCCGGAAGACCAAGGGUUCCUGUCCAACGUUAAUCGGGGCAGGGUAAGUCGACCCCUAAGGCGAGGCCGAAAGGCGUAGUCGAUGGGAAACGGGUUAAUAUUCCCGUACUUCUUACAAUUGCGAUGGGGGGACGGAGAAGGCUAGGUGGGCCUGGCGACGGUUGUCCAGGUUCAAGUGCGUAGGCUUGAGAGUUAGGUAAAUCCGGCUCUCUUUAAGGCUGAGACACGACGUCGAGCCACUACGGUGGUGAAGUCAUUGAUGCCAUGCUUCCAGGAAAAGCCUCUAAGCUUCAGAUUGUAAGGAAUCGUACCCCAAACCGACACAGGUGGUCGGGUAGAGAAUACCAAGGCGCUUGAGAGAACUCGGGUGAAGGAACUAGGCAAAAUGGUACCGUAACUUCGGGAGAAGGUACGCUCUCGACGGUGAAGUCCCUUGCGGAUGGAGCUAUUGAGAGUCGCAGAUACCAGGUGGCUGCAACUGUUUAUUAAAAACACAGCACUGUGCAAAAUCGUAAGAUGACGUAUACGGUGUGACGCCUGCCCGGUGCCGGAAGGUUAAUUGAUGGGGUUAGACUUCGGUCGAAGCUCUUGAUCGAAGCCCCGGUAAACGGCGGCCGUAACUAUAACGGUCCUAAGGUAGCGAAAUUCCUUGUCGGGUAAGUUCCGACCUGCACGAAUGGCGUAAUGAUGGCCACGCUGUCUCCACCCGAGACUCAGUGAAAUUGAAAUCGCUGUGAAGAUGCAGUGUACCCGCGGCUAGACGGAAAGACCCCGUGAACCUUUACUACAGCUUGGCACUGAACAUUGACCCUACAUGUGUAGGAUAGGUAAUCAAACCUGGAGAUAGCUGGUUCUCCCCGAAAGCUAUUUAGGUAGCGCCUCGGACGAAUACUACUGGGGGUAGAGCACUGUUAAGGCUAGGGGGUCAUCCCGACUUACCAACCCUUUGCAAACUCCGAAUACCAGUAAGUACUAUCCGGGAGACACACGGCGGGUGCUAACGUCCGUCGUGGAGAGGGAAACAACCCAGACCGCCAGCUAAGGUCCCAAAUUACUACUAAGUGGGAAACGAUGUGGGAAGGCUCAGACAGCCAGGAUGUUGGCUUAGAAGCAGCCAUCAUUUAAAGAAAGCGUAAUAGCUCACUGGUCGAGUCGGCCUGCGCGGAAGAUGUAACGGGGCUAAGUAGUAAACCGAAGCUGCGGCAAUGUGCUUUUGCACAUUGGGUAGGGGAGCGUUCUGUAAGCGGUUGAAGGUGUGUGGUAACGCAUGCUGGACGUAUCAGAAGUGCGAAUGCUGACAUGAGUAACGAUAAAGGGGGUGAAAAACCUCCUCGCCGGAAGACCAAGGGUUCCUGUCCAACGUUAAUCGGGGCAGGGUAAGUCGACCCCUAAGGCGAGGCCGAAAGGCGUAGUCGAUGGGAAACGGGUUAAUAUUCCCGUACUUCUUACAAUUGCGAUGGGGGGACGGAGAAGGCUAGGUGGGCCUGGCGACGGUUGUCCAGGUUCAAGUGCGUAGGCUUGAGAGUUAGGUAAAUCCGGCUCUCUUUAAGGCUGAGACACGACGUCGAGCCACUACGGUGGUGAAGUCAUUGAUGCCAUGCUUCCAGGAAAAGCCUCUAAGCUUCAGAUUGUAAGGAAUCGUACCCCAAACCGACACAGGUGGUCGGGUAGAGAAUACCAAGGCGCUUGAGAGAACUCGGGUGAAGGAACUAGGCAAAAUGGUACCGUAACUUCGGGAGAAGGUACGCUCUCGACGGUGAAGUCCCUCGCGGAUGGAGCUAUUGAGAGUCGCAGAUACCAGGUGGCUGCAACUGUUUAUUAAAAACACAGCACUGUGCAAAAUCGUAAGAUGACGUAUACGGUGUGACGCCUGCCCGGUGCCGGAAGGUUAAUUGAUGGGGUUAGACUUCGGUCGAAGCUCUUGAUCGAAGCCCCGGUAAACGGCGGCCGUAACUAUAACGGUCCUAAGGUAGCGAAAUUCCUUGUCGGGUAAGUUCCGACCUGCACGAAUGGCGUAAUGAUGGCCACGCUGUCUCCACCCGAGACUCAGUGAAAUUGAAAUCGCUGUGAAGAUGCAGUGUACCCGCGGCUAGACGGAAAGACCCCGUGAACCUUUACUACAGCUUGGCACUGAACAUUGACCCUACAUGUGUAGGAUAGGUGGGAGGCUUUGAAGCACGUACGCCAGUAUGUGUGGAGCCGUCCUUGAAAUACCACCCUUGUAGUGUUGAUGUUCUAACGUCGACCCCUUAUCGGGGUUGCGGACAGUGCCUGGUGGGUAGUUUGACUGGGGCGGUCUCCUCCCAAAGAGUAACGGAGGAGCACGAAGGUGGGCUAAUCACGGUUGGACAUCGUGAGGUUAGUGCAAUGGCAUAAGCCCGCUUGACUGCGAGAAUGACAAUUCGAGCAGGUGCGAAAGCAGGUCAUAGUGAUCCGGUGGUUCUGAAUGGAAGGGCCAUCGCUCAACGGAUAAAAGGUACUCCGGGGAUAACAGGCUGAUACCGCCCAAGAGUUCAUAUCGACGGCGGUGUUUGGCACCUCGAUGUCGGCUCAUCACAUCCUGGGGCUGAAGUCGGUCCCAAGGGUAUGGCUGUUCGCCAUUUAAAGUGGUACGCGAGCUGGGUUUAGAACGUCGUGAGACAGUUCGGUCCCUAUCUGCCGUGGGCGUUGGAAGAUUGAAGGGGGCUGCUCCUAGUACGAGAGGACCGGAGUGGACGAACCUCUGGUGUUCGGGUUGUGUCGCCAGACGCAUUGCCCGGUAGCUAAGUUCGGAAUCGAUAACCGCUGAAAGCAUCUAAGCGGGAAGCGAGCCCUGAGAUGAGUCUUCCCUGAUACUUUAAGUAUCCUAAAGGGUUGUCGGAGACUACGACGUUGAUAGGUCAGGUGUGUAAGUGCUGUGAGGCAUUGAGCUAACUGAUACUAAUUGCCCGUGAGGCUUAACCAU
rnacentral:rRNA from 1 species